AACUGCAGGCGACGGGGGUUGACACGCGCUCGCCCGGCCCUCUCUGCCGGUGAGGGCGGUUUGGCGUUCUUGCGCUCCUCGCAGUGUCAGUCGGAGUCCAGGUUGGCACUGCGGCGUCUACACGGAUAAGGAAACCCGGCACAGAGAAACUAAGUAAUUUGCUCUAGGUCACAUUGCUACUGAACUGCAGAAUUAUGAUUUGAACCCAGGUCUCUGAUUUUCAACGUCAUGCCUUUUCCACUACAUAAUUCUCCAUCUUAUCUACCUAUUUCAUUCCUAGCUCUAUCUGGAAGUAAUGUCAACACAGUAGCAAUAAUCACUGAGCCAGAUUGAGAUCUCUAAAUAUCCACUCUUACUGAAAGGAACCAACUGUCCUUGGAGAAAUGACUGAUGGCAUGUUCCGGCAAGAAAUGUACAAGAUGAACAUGGAACAUCUUACCAUGUUAGAACUCAGGGAAGUGAUCAAAGACCACUGUGGUUGUGUCAGGAGGACUCAGGAGACAACUUCCAAAGGACUGUUACAAGCCAAAGAUGGGCAUUUGUGCCUCAAAAGAAUAAUGACCCCAAUGGAUUGAAGCAAGCACAUUAAAAUGCAUGAAUUCAAAAUGAAAGAGAACUCAUUGAUCACCUUUAAAAGUUGCUAGGGCACCAAAUAUACAAAAAAUCGGAAAAUAAAAGGGAAAAAAGCAUUUAUUUUUCUCUUGCUAUACAAACUGUGUAACCAAAUAGUUGAUGAGCAAAAGUUCUUUUUAAUAGAAAAAUUUCAACUAAUAAAUGCAGAAUGACAGAAUCAGGAAAUGAUCAGGUAGCAACACCUAAUGAAAUAAUGCAUGCUGACUGCUAAUACAAUUAAGAGAAUGAUUCAUAGGGAACUUCAUACUGGGUAGAUUAGGCAGACAACCUGAACCUAUUGUUAAAUUUUAAAUCACAAAAAGAGAGACAUCCAGGCAUUUUGUGCCUCCUGACAUGAUUUGAUCUAAAGUAGUCAGCAUCACCUAUGAUGUAUUUGUGCCAAGAAAGUUUAAUUCAAUUAG